rnacentral:lncRNA from 1 species
CACUUGGGAUCCCCCCAGCUGCAGUUUUGGGGUGUUCUGGGAGGGUCCCAGGUGACACUCGGGGUCCCGGGAGGGUCUCAGCUGUCACUUGGGGUCCCGGGAGGGUCCCAGGUGACACUCGGGGUCCCGGGAGGGUCCCAGGUGACACUCGGGGUCCCUGGAGGGUCUCAGGUGACACUCGGGGUCCCCCCAGCUGCACUUUUGGGGUGUCCCGGGAGGCUCUCAGGGCCGCCCCGGUGCCGCGGGCAGCAGCAGCGGUUUGGGGAGCAGGGGGGGUUUCAUGGACACCGAGCGCUCCAGGGCUCCGGGCCGGGGUCCCCAGGGUGUCCCCCCCGGUGUCCCCAGCGAGUGCAUGCGGGUGAGGCCCCGCGGCGGCCCGGGGGGGCUCACGGGGGUCCCCCCCAGCGAGUAGCUCUGCGCCAGCGGCCGCCGCGGGGCCGGGGGGCUGUCGGGGGGCACGUCCAGGCGCACCGGGGCGCGGUCGUGGGGGCCCAACGGGGCCGCGGGGCCGCGGGGCAGCACCCGGUUGGCGAAGGAGCCGCUGCCCGGGGGGGUCCCGGGCCACGCCGAGCCCCCGGGCAGCCGCUGCAGCGUCUCCUCGCGAACCGCCCUGCCCGGCGGGCCCGGCCCGGGGGGCUCCGCGGGGCCGCGCCGGGGCUCCCGCUCCCGGGGGGCGCGGGCCGGGGGCAGCGCGGGGGGCUCGGGCUCGGGGCCGGGGCCGCUCCCGUCCUGCGGCGGCAGCGCGGGGUACAGGCGGGGCACGGGCGGCUGGCUCGGGCUCCGGGGGGCGCAGGGAGGAUCCGGGGGCGCUUUGGGGACGGCGGGGCGCUGGCAGCAGGUGGCCAGCAGCCCGGUGGCCAGGGCGCCCACGGCGAAGGCGCCCAGCACGCAGCCCACGAGCACCGGCACCGGAACCGUCGCUUCGGCACCGGGCCCGGGGUGCCGCACUCCUGCGGGACCUCCCGUCAGCCCGGUGUCCCCCACAGAGACCCCCCGGUCUCCUCUCCCAUCCCUUCUCCUGUUCCUGGGGUCCCUCCUGCUCACUGGGGUCCCCCCACCCCACAGUCCUUCUCCUUCCCUUUUCCCCCCUUGGGAUCGUUGUCCCACCCCAGGGGUCCCUCUCCUGUCCCUGGGGGUCUCGUAUUUGUCUCUGGGACACCACAAUCCCCCGCCCAAGUCCUUGGUGUCCCCCUCCCCAACCCCUGGGGUCUCCCCCCACCCCAGGGUGCUCAGACAAUAUCACUGACCGUGGGCCAGGUCUCCAUCCUCGUCACCAACCCUUGUAGGCCCUGUGAGAGCAGAGCAGGGUCAGGCCAGGCCCCUCCACGUCCCUUGGAGCCACCAAUGUCCCCUCCACGUCCUCCCCAUCCUCUGGCAUCACCCACGUGUGCCAGAGCCACCCCAGUGCCACCUGCAUCCCCCCAGAAAUCCCCAAACAUCCCCAGUGUCCCCCGUGUUCCCCCACUUCACCUUGGCAGGUCCCGCUGA